CAUGCAAGUCGAACGCUGAAGCUUGGUGCUUGCACUGGGUGGAUGAGUGGCGAACGGGUGAGUAAUACGUGAGUAACCUGCCCUUGACUCUGGGAUAAGCCUGGGAAACUGGGUCUAAUACUGGAUAUGACCUCCUGUCGCAUGGUGGGGGGUGGAAAGGGUUUGUACUGGUUGUGGAUGGGCUCACGGCCUAUCAGCUUGUUGGUGGGGUAAUGGCCUACCAAGGCGACGACGGGUAGCCGGCCUGAGAGGGUGACCGGCCACACUGGGACUGAGACACGGCCCAGACUCCUACGGGAGGCAGCAGUGGGGAAUAUUGCACAAUGGGCGCAAGCCUGAUGCAGCGACGCCGCGUGAGGGAUGACGGCCUUCGGGUUGUAAACCUCUUUCAGCACGGAAGAAGCGAAAGUGACGGUACGUGCAGAAGAAGCGCCGGCUAACUACGUGCCAGCAGCCGCGGUAAUACGUAGGGCGCAAGCGUUGUCCGGAAUUAUUGGGCGUAAAGAGCUCGUAGGCGGUUUGUCGCGUCUGCUGUGAAAGCCCGGGGCUUAACCCCGGGUGUGCAGUGGGUACGGGCAGACUUGAGUGCAGUAGGGGAGACUGGAACUCCUGGUGUAGCGGUGAAAUGCGCAGAUAUCAGGAAGAACACCGAUGGCGAAAGCAGGUCUCUGGGCUGUUACUGACGCUGAGGAGCGAAAGCAUGGGGAGCGAACAGGAUUAGAUACCCUGGUAGUCCAUGCCGUAA
rnacentral:rRNA from 1 species